rnacentral:rRNA from 2 species
UGGGGAAUAUUGGGCAAUGGGCGAAAGCCUGACCCAGCAACGCCGCGUGAAGGAAGAAGGUUUUCGGAUUGUAAACUUCUGUCCUCAGGGAAGAAGGAAGUGACGGUACCUGAGGAGGAAGCCCCGGCUAACUACGUGCCAGCAGCCGCGGUAAUACGUAGGGGGCGAGCGUUGUCCGGAAUUACUGGGCGUAAAGGGUGCGUAGGCGGCAAAGCAAGUCAGAUGUGAAAUCCCCGGGCUUAACUCGGGGGGUGCAUUUGAAACUGCAUUGCUUGAGUGCAGGAGAGGAAAGCGGAAUUCCUAGUGUAGCGGUGAAAUGCGUAGAUAUUAGGAGGAACACCAGUGGCGAAGGCGGCUUUCUGGACAGUAACUGACGCUGAGGCGCGAAAGCGUGGGGAGCGAACAGG